ensembl:lincRNA
UCACAGGAACGAUCUACAAAGAACCACUGCAUGUGCCACUGUGGUAGAAGGUAAGGAAUCUUCUUGGGAUGCUGGCUGAAGGCUGGAUACUUCUAUAUCAGCAGAAUGCUUUGUUUCAUGGCCUCUUGAUGCUGGAAUCAGCUCUACUUUCCCAAAGAAGAGAAAGAAAAUACUCCUGUCUGAAUCAGUGAUUGCUCUCUGUGGAGUUAAUUGUUCAAAGUGAGGAGCAAGAAAGGCAUGCAAUAACCAAAAUAUACCCCCUCCUCUAAUAUGAGAACCAUGUCUUUAAGCAUAAAGUUGUCUCUAGCCUUAGUAUAGAAUAUAGAAAAUUAUGUUUUCUAUCUCAGUGAAUAUAGGUACCAGAUUCUCUUUCGUUUCUCCUUUGAAAUUUCCUUCUUGGUGCAUGUCAUGGUGGGAAUCACGGGUCCAUGACAUACUUAUUCCAGGCUGCCAUUUCCUCAGGUGCAGGAUUGUAGAGGACCCAUGAAGUAGUCAUGAAAGCCACACCCACAUUUGACUAUGACCGGUGUUACGUGGAGACCUUGUGAAGAGAUGGGCUGCUGUGCCCUGCCCUUGGAGCUUUCAGUUCAGCACAUACAGCUGCUGGUCUGAAAGACUGCGCUUCCCUCACAGUCCCAGAGGUCUGUGGGGGCUCUGGGUACCAGCCUUCAGAAACUACGAGAGUUUAGCCCUGUGUAAGACAGGUGAAUGCUCUCUUGGUAUUUUAUUACUCAAUACUCUCUAGAAAUUGAGCACAAUUGCACAUAUAGAAGAGCUAACGAAAGCUUAUUAAAUGCAGUUAUGGGGCACAAACAGGUGUACCAUUAUAGAUUGCUGGGCAGGUUAGCUUCAUUCAGAGAAGUGUUUUUCUCACUGCAACCUAGACAUUGCAAAAUGUUCUCUUCCACUAAGAAGUGUGCCAAAAAGUCACAGCGAGUGACUAGGACUCUGUCCUCUCUGAAUUAUGACUUCCACACUCGUAAACUGGGACUCAUGUCACCAGUCCUGGGUAAUGUCACAAAUCCUUACUGGGAUCAAAGUAUAAAAUGUGAGAAAGUGCAGCACAACAACAUAAAACUGAAUUCGAAAGUGAGGUUGAACUUCAUCCAAUGCAGAAUAAAUUCAGUCUUUAUGGUCACAUCCUCAAAUGUAAAUAGUAAGAAAAAUAGGAGAAUGGAUUAAACUCUAAAACAAUGGGUGACCACAUAGGAUAGAUAUAUUUUAGAAAUCCAAUAACCUAGCUUUAAGAUGUAUUCAAAACACCCACAUUAUAACACACAUUUAGAAAUUUAGUUGAAGUAUUGUGACCUAUUUUUAUCUGUUGGUUUUGUGUGUUCAUAUUUUACAGAUGAUAGUUUCCCAGUGAUUUCUCUCACAUUACUUAACUUUCAACAUCACCUAUUACUUGCCAUUCUUCCUUCCGUCAAUGGACUUGGUGGAAUGGACUUACCACUAUGGAGGAAGCAGAAAACUUCAUUGUGGAAUCUUAUGCAAUUUUUCUUACUUCUGGCACUCAUGGGCAUCACUUGAGCAUAUAUGAUGGCCUAUACACUAGAAAAGGAAAUUUACAGGAGAUGGUACAUCUAUUCUGUCUCGUAGUAUUUCCUCUAAGUUACUUCUUUCAUGACAGUAACAGCUACAGUUUGGACAAUCUUAGGGCAGGUAGAAGCUGAAUGAUACCAGCCAGGGCUGUUAUUUGUCUUGGGGUAUGUUGGAGCUACUGUCCUCAAAACUUUACAUAGUGAAGCUUUCUGGAUGCUUCUUGACAUUUCUGAGAUCAAUGUCUUGACAAUUUCUUCUUCCCAAAUCCCCAUACAGCCAACAGGGAAAAGAGAAAAGCAAAAUUUUCCCUACUUUG